rnacentral:tRNA from 12 species
GUUUGCCUUGCAGGCUUCAAACCUGGUGGAGGCUUGCUC